rnacentral:rRNA from 1 species
AUGGCGUCGGCGAAGUCGUCACGGUCGAGGCCGGCCGGCCACUCGGGGGUGUUCCCGGUGGGCGCGGCGGCGACGGGGGUUGGUGGUGGUGGAGGCGGCGGCGGCGACGGCGGGGUGCAGCUCGCCGACAAGCUCAAGAUCUUCAAGACCGACAACUUCGACCCCGACGCCUACGUGCAGUCCAAGUGCCAGACCAUGAACGAGAAGGAAAUAAGACAUUUGUGCUCCUAUCUGCAAGAUCUAAAGAAGGCUUCAGCUGAAGAAAUGCGCAGAAGUGUUUAUGCAAAUUAUGCUGCAUUCAUCAGAACAUCGAAGGAGAUAUCCGACCUUGAAGGCGAGCUCUUGUCAAUUAGAAAUUUACUCAAUACACAGGCGGCUUUAAUCCAUGGUCUAUCUGAAGGAGUUCAGAUAGAUUCCCUGACUUCGGGUACUGAAGGUUCUACAGAAGAGGACAUAUCCAAUGUUGAAGGCCAGGAGCCUUCAGAAAUACAGAAAUGGUCUGCAGAUUUCCCUGACAUGCUUGAUGUUUUGCUAGCUGAGAGAAGAGUGGAUGAAGCGCUAGAUGCACUAGAUGAAGCGGAGCGAGUUGCUGCAGACCGGACACAAACUCUAACUACAGCUGAAAUUUCGGCUUUGAGAAGUGCCGUCUCUGAUAAUCGUCAAAAGCUGGCAGACCAGCUUGCUGAAGCUGCCUGUCAGUCUUCUACUCGUGGCAUUGAGCUCCGUGCUGCCGCUUCUGCUCUCAAAAGGCUUGGUGAUGGCCCUCGAGCUCACAGUCUAUUACUCAGUGCACAUAAUCAAAGGCUUCAAUGUAAUUUGCAAACAAUACAUCCGUCAAGCACCUCAUAUGGUGGGGCAUAUACUGCUGCACUUGCUCAGCAAGUUUUUUCAGUUGUAGCUCAGGCGCUCAGUGAUUCUGUGGAAGUUUUUGGCGAUGAGUCAUGUUAUGCAUCUGAGCUGGUUACAUGGGCUACACAGCAGGUUUUGUCCUUUGCACUCCUGGUAAAGAGGCAUGUGUUGUCUUCUUGUGCAGCCGCUGGAGGCUUGAGAGCAGCUGCAGAAUGUGUUCAAAUAUCAAUUGGCCAUUGUUCCUUGCUGGAAGCUCGUGGUCUAUCUGUUUCUGCUGUUCUCCUGAAGCAGUUCAAGCCCAGUCUUGAGCAAGCAUUAGAUGCUAACUUGAGGAGAAUCGAAGAGAGUACUGCUGCACUUGCUGCAGCAGAUAACUGGACACUCACUUAUCCCCCAAAUGGUAUUCACCCAUUAGCUAGAUCUUCUGUUGCUAAUUUGGCACUUCAACCAAAGCUCUCGAGCAGUGCACAUCGUUUCAAUUCUAUGGUUCAGGACUACUUUGAGGAUGUCACACCACUCCUUAGCUUGCAGUUAGGGGGUUCAACAAUGGAUGGGAUUGCAAAAAAUUUCAGCUUGUACAUCAAUCUGCUCAUAAGUGCAUUACCUGGAUCAAUGGAUGACGAAGCUAACAUAGAUGGUUUAGGCAAUAAGAUUAUUAGAAUGGCAGAGACUGAGGAACAGCAGUUGGCUUUAUUAGCCAAUGCAUCUUUACUUGCUGAGGAAUUGCUACCUAGAGCAGCUAUGAAGCUGUCAUCUAUAAACCAGUCCAGCAUGGAUGAUUUGCGUAAAAGAGGACCAGAUAAGCAAAACCGUGUGCCCGAGCUACGAGAAUGGAAAAGGAAAUUACAACGCAUGGUGGACAGGUUGAGAGAUAGUUUCUGCAGGCAGCAUGCUCUUGAACUAAUAUUUACAGAUGAAGGUGAUACCCAUCUCAGUGCAGAAAUGUAUAUUAGUAUGGAUAAUACUGUUGAAGAGCCAGAGUGGGUCCCAUCUCCAAUUUUCCAGGAACUGUAUGCAAAGCUAAAUAGGAUGGCAGGCGUUGCUGCAGAUAUGUUUGUUGGUAGAGAAAGAUUUGCUACUUUGCUAAUGAUGCGGCUCACUGAGACAGUUAUCCUUUGGCUCUCGGAGGAUCAGGCCUUCUGGGAAGAGAUCGAGCAGGGACCAAAGCCUUUGGGCCCCCUUGGUCUUCAGCAGUUCUACCUGGAUAUGCAAUUUGUCAUCAUCUUCGGACAAGGUCGAUUUUUGUCUAGACAUGUGCAUCAAGUCAUAUUGGAUAUCAUUGAUAGAGCAAUGGGUGCCUUUUCUGCUACCGGAAUGAAUCCUGAUAGUGUCCUUCCCGGCGAUGAUUGGUUCAUGGAUGUCGCUCAAGAGGUUGUCGGCAUGAUCAGUGGAAGGGGUAGGGCUGCCAAUGGGGACAGGGAGAUUAACAGCCCGACUGCCUCUGUUUCAGCACACUCUAUGUCAUCGUUCAGAUCCCAUGGCAGCUCUUAG